CAGCGACCGUCCGAUCCAUCGUCCAUUCAUCAGCUUCGUACCGUCUGUUUCAAAAUUCAAACGUGCCCCGAAAUUAUCGCAUCCUCCUCCCGGGAUUGCCUCCGCUGGCCCGAUCCGCUCAGUCCCCGUCCGCCGUCCGUGACGUCGCAGUCCGCUCCGUCCCAGUGUCGCCGCUCCGCUCCGUCUCUGCUGCACCUCGCAUUUGGUUUCCCCAUCGUCCAGGCAUGUUUAUCUUUUGCAUCUGUCUCCUCUCAUCUGGUUUUGCCUGUCAUCUCUUUUGCAUCUCCGUCUCUGCAGUCUUCGUUCUCCUGCACUAGCGCGAGCUCCUGCUCCGUCCCCGGGAUCACCUCCGCUGCCACGAUCCGCUCAGUCCCUGUCCGCCGCCCCCGACGUCGCAGUCCGCUCCAUCCCUGCCGCGGCAUCAUCGCAGGCGGCCUGGUGGACGGAAACGCCUAGGCAGAGCCCGUGGGCGGGGAAACCGGUGGCCUACACGGCGGGCAGCGACGCCAGCACGCCAGCGCCGCUGCCCUACCCCUCCACGCCACUCAACGCCGACUCCAGCGUUGUGCAGGAGCUCUUCACCACGUCGCCCACCAGGUGCUCGACAGAUUGCCUAAGCCAGGAAGAAACUACCUGUAUAUUUGAGAAGCAUGGAGCUGCUUGGACAUCCUUCAUGAAGGUAAUUUUCAUUGUCUUCCAUUUGGCUUUCGGAGCUAGAUGAUCAUUCCAUGACAAUUGCUAUGUUUCUUAUUCAGAAAAGACGUAAUUAAUUCAGGCUAUGCAUUAUGAAAUUGGUUAAAUGUAUUAGGCCUACUUGAAUCCUUUUCAUAACAAAUAUAACCUGAAGAGUGGUGGGCAUUGAACUGCCACUGUCCUUUUGUGCUUCAUAGGUGUCAAGGUGGAGAGGCUGUGUUUCCAAAUGCUGAGGCCUACACUUAAUUUGGAUCUCACCACCUUUCUUUUGAAAAUACAGCUAUGAGAUCAGUGAUAUAUGUAAGAUUAAAAGCUUCAUGCUUCAGUCCAUCAAGUCAUGGAAAUCAUUCAAUGUAGGAGUGUACAGGCUUCCUUCGCACAAUGCUGAUGUACAAGCCAUCUGAGUCAGUUUCAUUUUGGAUCUACCUUAGUGGGAGCUACUAAACAAAACAGAUGAGUAUCAUAAUUGUCAUUUUGGCUUUAUUACUUUUGUACAUUGACAGCUAAAAUUGUCAUCUUUUUCUCAUGGUGGACUUUGGACUUUAGCACAAGAUAGUUGCAAUUGGAAUUCUCUAUGGAGCCUAAACUGAUGAAAUGGAAGUAACCGUAUUCAAUCAAGACCUACAAUUCUGUGCGGAGCUAGGCUUGGUCGGAUUAACCUGCAACCUGGUUUCACAAACAUACUACUAUUUGCUUAAAUCAUGUAACUGUGAUGUCGUGUGCUUCGAAAGUACCGAGCAAGCUUGGUGUUGAAAGUUUGCAAUCGCCGGAGCUCAGUACUGGUGCAGCAUGCUGGAAACAAAACUGGAAGUAGCAACAGCCACAUAGCAUCCACCUUGAUCAGACUGGCUCAUAUACUAUCUUGUACAAAGUCCAUUUUGAUAUAAAUCUUUGUAGAGUUCUUUUUUAUCCUUUGGGAUUAGGCGAACCGAUUAAUCUUCAUUAUUUUUUAACUUCAACUUGGCCCUAUUUUAACUCUGCAGAAUUUUGAUGCGAAGUUGUAGAGUUGUUCUGGUGUGUGGUUGUAAAAGUUUUCAAAAUAUUGUUAUUUUCUGUAUUUGAUGCCCAAUGCAAUGCUCAAAAUA